rnacentral:sRNA from 1 species
UAUCGCUGCCCUCCUUGGGCGUUUCCUCCCUAGACUUGGGCCGUUCGUUCAAUCGGACGGCCCUUUUUUUUGGAUUGG